GGGGAUAUAGCUCAGCUGGAAGAGCACUUGCAUGGCAUGCAAGGGGUCGGGGGUUCGAAUCCCCCUAUCUCCACCA
rnacentral:tRNA from 2 species